CAGCGGUGGUGGCGGCUGCGGCGCAGGCAGGGCUGGGCGCUUGGGGAGCUCCGCGCGCGGGGCACUUCCCCGUGACCGGCGGCCGCGCAGCUCAGGGAACUCCGCUCCGUGAGGCUUCCGGGAGAGGGAAAGCUGUUCUCCUUUGAUGCUCUUUGGUUUUACAGUGGAAAACUACAAUUAAAAAAACAUAGCCGUGAAAAUAAAUGAGAUUAGAACCUGCUGGCUUCACUUCCUGGAGGCUUUUUGUUGUGUCUUGAAACUAGGAUCUUUGCGGGUCAUCCCUGCUUUGAUCAAAAUCAACCAUUCCUUUCCAAAAUUCAGAAGCUUCCACAACAAGACUCACCAAAGUAGCCACUAGACCAUCAAGUUUGAGAGACACAACUUCAUAAAACACAAAUGUCUGUAAUCCCAGCACUUUGAGAAGCCAAGGUGGAUGGAUCACUUGAGCGUAGGAGUUUAAGACCAGCCUGGGCAACAUAGUGAGACCCUCAUCUGUACAAAAAAUACAAAAAAAACUUUGCCAGCUAUGGUGGCACAUGCCUGUGAUCCCAGCUGCUUGAGAGGCUGAAGUGAGAAGAUCACUUGAGCCUGGGAGGUUGAGGCUGCAGCAAACUAUGAUUAUGCCACUAUAUCCCAGCCUGGAUGACAGAGCAAGACCUUAUCUCAAAAAAGAAAAAAAAAGAAGAAAAAAGAAAACACAAAUGCCUGUUUCUGUAUUAAGAUACUCUUCUAUUACCAUGAAAAGCUUGGAGAGGCCAGGUGCGGUGGCUCAUGCCUGUAAUCCCAGCACUUUGGAAGUCUGAGGCGGGUGGAUCACGAGGUCAGUAGUUCAAGACCAGCCUGGCCAAGAUGGUGAAACCCCGUCUCUACUAAAAAUACAAUAAUUAGCUGGACGCGGUGGUAGGCACCUGUAGUCCCAGCUACUCAGGAGGCUGAGGCAGGAGAAUUACUUGAACUGGGGAGGCAGAGGUUGCAGUGAGCCGAGAUCGCGCCACUGCACUCCAGCCUGGGCGACAGAGCAAGACUCUGUCUCAAAAAAAAAAAAAAAAAAAAAAAAAAAAAAAAAAAAAAACAGAAAAGAAAA